rnacentral:rRNA from 1 species
UACGUAGGGUGCGAGCGUUAAUCGGAAUUACUGGGCGUAAAGCGUGCGCAGGCGGCGCGUUAAGACAGGUGUGAAAGCCCCCGAGCUUAACUUGGGAAUUGCGCUUGUGACUGGCGUGCUGGAGUGUGGCAGAGGGAGGUGGAAUUCCACGUGUAGCAGUGAAAUGCGUAGAGAUGAUGGAGGAACACCGAUGGCGAAGGCAGCCUCCUGGGCCAGCACUGACGCUCAUGACACGAAAGCCAGGGGAGCAAACGGG